UAACGUCAUCACUGAGCCAGUGAGGAGUGGAGAGUAAUAUAUAAGACGUUGUGUAUAGCACUACAUACAACGUCUUAUGCAUUACUCCUUACUCCUCAUUGACUCAGUGAUGACGUUAU
rnacentral:pre_miRNA from 1 species